GCUAAGCUCACCGCUGACGGUUCCCUCCGGGGAUCAAAAGGGAACGCGGUGAGGGCUCGCCCGAGGCCGCGGCUGCCCCCGCAACUGUAAGCGGCGAGCUUUCCAUCACGAACGUCACUGGGAACCCGCAACGGUCCCUGGGAAGACGAUGGACGGCGACGACCCGUGAGCCAGGAGACCUGCCGUCAGCCGUGGUCACAC
rnacentral:ncRNA from 2 species